rnacentral:lncRNA from 1 species
UGGCAAGGAAACAUAUGUGGGGUGAGGUGUACGAGCCUCUAGUCGAUGAUCAAUGGCCACACAACCCCCAUUUUUGUCGAAAAUAGCCAUGAACGACCAUUUUCAAUAAUACCGAAGGCUAACACGUAUGGAUUUUUGACCAAGAAAUGGUCUCCACCAGAAAUCCAAGAAUGUGAUCUAUGGCAAGGAAACAUAUGUGGGGUGAGGUAUAUGAGCCUCUGGUCGAUGAUCAAUGGCCACACAACCCCUAUUUUUGUCAAAAAUAGCAUGGACGACCAUUUUCAAUAAUACCAAAGGCUAACACCUAUGGAUUUUUGACCAAGAAAUGGUCUCCACCUGAAAUCCAAGAAUGUGAUCUAUGGCAAGGAAACAUAUGUGGGGUGAGGUGUACGAGCCUCUGGUCGAUGCUCAAUGGCCACACAACCCACAUUUUUGUCAAAAACUGCAUGAACCACCAUUUUCAAUAAUACCGAAGGAUAACACCUAUGGAUUUUUGACCAAGAAAUGGUCUCCACCAGAAAUCCAAGAAUGCAAUCUAUGGCAAGCAAACAUAUGUGGGCUGAGGUCUACCAGCCUCUAGUCGAUGACUAAUGGCCACACAACCCCCAUUUUUGUCGAAAAUAGCAUGAACGAACAUUUUCAAUAAUACCGAAGGCUAACACCUACGGAUUUUUGACCAAGAAGAAAUCGAAGGAUGUCGAAAAUUGCAUGAACGACCAUUUCAAUAAUGUCGUAGGCUAACACGAACGGAUUUUUGACCAAGAAAUGGCCUACACCAGAACUAAGAAUGUGAUCUAUGAAAAGGAAACAUAUGUGGUGUUAGGUGUACGAGACUCUAGUCACGAUUUAUGGCCACACAACCCCCAUUUUUGCCGAAAAUAUUAUAAAUGACCAUUUUCAGUAAUACUAAACGCUAACGCCUAUGGAUUUUUGACCAAGAAAUGGCCUCCCCCAGAAAUCCAAGAAUGUGAUCUAUGGCAUGGAAACAUAUGUGGGGUGAGGUGUAUGAUCCUCUGGUCGAUGAUCAAUGGCCACAUGACCCCCAUUUUUGUCGAAAAUAGCCAUGAACGACCAUUUUCAAUAAUACCGAAGGCUAACACCUACGGAUUUUUGACCAAGAAAUGGUCUCCACCAGAAAUCCAAGAAUGUGAUCUAUGGUAAGGAAACAUAUGUGGGGUGAGGUGUACGAGCCUCUGGUUAAUGAUUAAUGGCCACACAUCCCCUAUUUUUGUCGAUAAUAGCAUGAACGAUAAUUUUCAAAAAUACCGAAGGCUAAAACCUACGAAUUUUUGACCAAGAAAUGGUCUCCACCAGAAAUCGAAGAAUGUGAUCUAUGGCAAGAAAACAUAUGUGGGGUGAGGUGUACGAGCCUCUGGUCGAUGAUUAAUGGCCACACAACCCCUAAUUUUCUCGAAAUAGCAUGAACGACCAUUUUCAAUAAUACUAAACGCUAACACCUACAGAUUUUUGACCAAGAAAUGGUCUCCACCAGAAAUCCAAAAAUGUGAUCUAUGGCAAGGAAACAUGUGGGGUGAGGUGUACGAAACUCUGGUCGAUGAUCAAUGGCCACAAAACCCACAUUUUUGUCGAAAAUUGCAUGAACGACCAUUUUCAAUAAUACAGAAGGAUAACAGCUACGGAUUUUUGACCAAGAAAUGGUCUCCACCAGAAAUCCAAGAAUGCAAUCUAUGGCAAGCAAACAAAUGUGGGGCGAGGUAUACGAGCCUCUAGUUGAUGAUCAAUGGCCACACAACCCCUAUUUUUGUCGAAAAUAGCAUGAACGAACAUUUUCAAUUAUACUGAAGGCUAACACCUACGGUUUUUGACCAAGAAAUGGUCUCCCCUAGAAAUCAAAGGAUGUCGAAAAUUGCAUGAAUGACCAUUUCAAUAAUGCCAAAGGCUAACACCUACGUAUUUUUGACCAACAAAUGGUCUCCACCAGAAAUCGAAGAAUGCAAUCUAUGGCAAGCAAACAUAUGUUGGGUGAGGUGUAUGAGCCUCUAGUCGAAGAUCAAUGGCCACACA